rnacentral:rRNA from 1 species
CCCAAACCAAUAAAGUUUUCUUUAUUGGGGUUGCGGACAUAUCAUAACGAAGAGGUAUCGUAAUUGAAGAGGUUUGGAAAGACCCACCACAGAAGGUAAUAGUCCUGUAUGUUAAACGAGAAGACUUUAGAUAUGAUCCAGAGUACCACGGGACACGUGAAACCCUGUGGGAAGCAGGAGGGACCACCCUCCAAGGCUAAAUACUACCUAGUGACCGAUAGCGUAUAGUACCGUGAGGGAAAGGUGAAAAGAACC